rnacentral:snoRNA from 1 species
CUGCUACUAAGGUUCCCACUACAGAUGCAAGAAAAAGAAGGUCCUAAUGCUUUCUGUCUGUCUGGUUGUGGCAGUCAAGGUUGCAUGGGGGAAUACAGGA